rnacentral:rRNA from 1 species
AUUGAACGCUGGCGGCAUGCUUUACACAUGCAAGUCGAGCGGUAACACGCCUUCGUUUGCUGACGAGUGGCGAACGGGUGCGUAAUGCAUCCGAACGUACCCCGAGCUGGUGGAUAACGCAGCGAAAGCUGUGCUAAUACCUCAUGUGAUCUGAGGAUGAAAACGGGGGACCGAGCAGCAAUGUUUGGCCUCUCGCCUUUGUAGUGGCCGAUGUCGGAUUAGCUAGUUGGUGGGGUAAAGGCCUACCAAGGCCACGAUCCGUAGCUGGGCUGAGAGGACGAACGGCCACACUGGGACUGAGAAACGGCCCAGACUCCUACGGGAGGCAGCAGUAGGGAAUUUUCGGCAAUGGGCGAAAGCCUGACCCAACAAAGCCGCGUGGGGGAAGAAGGCCUUCGGGUUGUAAAACCCUUUUAGGAGGGAAGAAAAAGGGUCCAAUUAAACCCGGCCGUCAUGACGGUAACUGACAAAAAAGCCACGGCUAACUACGUG